UUCCCGGGAAGCACAACGGGAGUGAAGGAAACACAGACGGUCCCGACGGAAUCGUGGGAUCGCGGAGGUUGGAAAAGACCACUGAGGUCAUCCAGGCUGACCGUUCUGCUCCGGGUGCUGCUGGAGUUUCCAUUGGUUCGGCAGCACGAAGCCGCGUGUAAAGGGGAAACGCACUGCCAGAUAGAGUGUAAGAGCUGCCACACGGCUCCCAUUUCUCCCAGCUAUUUGGCUCUGCGUGGAUCUUCAGCCUCUGCACUACUUGUGAUGCUGGCAUUGUCACGAAGGGGAGGAACCCGUGGUGGAUGAGAGGGUUCUCUUCACCCUACAACACCCUACAAGAGGGGCACCCCAACUUGCUGGGUCUCCAUCCCACCUCUGCGGGGAUCGCCCCAAUUUCUGCCUCCCUGCAGCAGAUUUUCUGCACAAAAAUAGGAACUCGGUCCUACAGUGCCAUCUCGUGACACACACAUGUAGGAGAGUCUUCCUACACCAUUCCUGGGGAUAACUGUGCGCUAUGGGAUGGCGUUACAGUCAAAGGUGGAGGAAAUCUGCAUGCAAUUUGGGCAGCAGUGCAAAAUGCUGCACGAGGGCAGCAAUUGGCAGUGAUUUCCACCCACUGCAGAGACACGGGGAGAGGAGAGGAGAUCCUAACCCAAAGGAAACCUUCCACAACCCCAACCCAAAGGGAAAACCUUCUGCUCUCCCAACCCAAAGGGAAACCAUCCACAACCCCAAAGGGAAACCUUCCACAACCCCAACCCAAAGGGAAAACCUUCUGCUCUCCCAACCCAAAGGGAAACCAUCCACAACCCCAACCCAAAGGGAAAACCUUCUGCUCUCCCAACCCAAAGGGAAACCAUCCACAUUCCCAACCCAAAGGGAAAACCUUCUGCUCUCCCAACCCAAAGGGAAACCAUCCACAACCCCAACCCAAAGGGAAACCUUUUGCUCUCCCAGCCCAAGAGGGAGAACUUUCUGCUCUCCCAACCAGCUGAGGAGGUUCAACGACCCAACUCCUCUCCCAUCUCAUCAAUGGACACCGUUUCAGUCCUUUUUCUUAACAAAGCUGUAAAGAGAAACGCCGAUGACCUCUUGGUCCUAUUUGUACAGUUGGGGUUAUCAGAGUUUGCAUCUCUGGAGCAAUGCAUAUUUGUGAAUAUAUUGCUUUGAAUGCUAAGUUGUCAUAGACCAUAGAGCUUCUGUAAUAAAUUACCGGGUGUUUU
rnacentral:lncRNA from 7 species